GAUGAAGAACGCAGCGAAAUGCGAUAAGUAAUGUGAAUUGCAGAAUUCCGUGAAUCAUCGAAUCUUUGAACGCAUAUUGCGCCCUCUGGUAUUCCGGAGGGCAUGCCUGUCCGAGCGUCAUUGCUGCCCUCAAGCACGGCUUGUGUGUUGGGCCCCGCCCCCCGAUCCCGGGGGGCGGGCCCGAAAGGCAGCGGCGGCACCGCGUCCGGUCCUCGAGCGUAUGGGGCUUUGUCACCCGCUCUGUAGGCCCGGCCGGCGCUUGCCGAUCAACCAAACUUUUUUCCAGGUUGACCUCGGAUCAGGUAGGGAUACCCGCUGAACUUAAGCAUAUCAAUAAGCGGAGGA
rnacentral:misc_RNA from 1 species